UCUCUGGCAGGCCAAGAUGCAACAUCCAGCAAUCAUCUUGUGAGGCAAGAGAGAACAAGGAAACCCAUCCUGCUGUCUGUAAUAUUCUGGGGGCCCAGAGAAAUGCUCUCCUACUUUUUCUGUGAAAUCACCUCUCAGAACCCACAUUAUUUUCUAUGCACACAUUCCAAACACAAAGGAGGCACAGAUUUCUUCUCCGCGCAAAUAGCCCAGAUUCUCUGAACACUACUUCUUUUUCAGAACACAUGCAUUCCACUCCACGUACCUCUGUGGGUUCGUUGUAAUACGAUGUCCAUUCGGAAAUAUCGUGCGAUUCCAUUUUGACGGAGCCCAGCAUUCCAAAAUUCCGGAGAGGAAAAAUAAUUGCUUGUACGUGCUUAAUUUAAAGGAGAGGGGGAAUCCUGGAAUCGAUUUCUUCGGGAAGCUUAACGCUUUUUUCUUCCUCUUCUUCCCCCCAAUGUGUUCUUUUUGAGAUUCAGCCUAAGCCCACAAACUGAAAUAACCAAAGGGAAGGAUUGAUGUUGGAAUGAACUGUCUGCCUUCCCCUUUUUGAAAGUGUGCAGUGGCCGUUUGGGAGCCAAAGACUUAAUAUGCCCAGAAGUCAGAGGAAUCAACAGGUUUCCAUGGUAUAGGAUGAAGGAGGACAAUCCAUCCAGUUUUGGGACCUGAAGUCUGGGAUGACUUGCAGGAGGGCUGUUUUUGUGAUGUGCAAGUUGUCUGCGUCCGUCUAAACCUGGACUGCUGGUUGUCCUGAGGUUGUCUCCCAGUAUGUGAAGGGCUGUCACCUGGACAGUCAUUUUCUCUGGAGAGAUUACAAAACUAUCACAAGAGAGAAAAAUGUGAAAAAGUAGCUUGGCCAUAAGAAACACCAAGUCCCUUAGGGACAGUUUGGGGGAAGACGCAGGAAGGGUGGGUUCUCCACCUUUGGCUCCUGGAAGAAAAGCAGGUUAUAAAUCUAACAAGUAAAUAAGCAGCUCAGGUGUCCCCAGGAAGGGGUCAAAAAAGUUAAGAUAGUGGCCACCACCUAGUGGUGAAUCCCCUGCCCCUUUAUAUGUGUGCUGUGGUGCGAUUUAAUGAAGUGAGCUGCAGCUCAUGAAAGCUUCUGCCUUUUAAUAGGA